UAUUAUCAAGAGCUUCAAAACCAGGUGGACACAUCCCAACUGCUUUUUGGGAUUGGCACUUGUCCUGCUAUGCUGAGCAAGACCUUGUUCUGUUACUGUAAGACCUACUGAUAUAGAAGUCGGGUUUGAGUUUUCCAUCUACAUCCUCCAGCCUCUACAGACGGUUAUACUUCAGACACAUCCCCAAAUAUCAAUAUAGCAAAAAAAAAGAAAGGAAGUGAGAAGGAACACAUCUCUUAAUGAUGUAAAAACCUUUUUAAAGGACUGCAGUUGGAUAUUUUUUAGUAUAAAGUGACUCCUUUGGGACCUACCCUUGGUAUAAACUUGUGCUGAUAUACUCUAAUAUCUAAAAUAAAUCUGAAGUUGAGGUUAUCCUUUUGAGCUCAAUCUUAUGAAACAUGGAGUACCAUCCCACCUGGAACGAUCAUGUUUCUUUAUUCCACCUCUGGGUGCAACUGAAGAUCUUACUGACCUGUUCUAUAAGGCUGAACACUAUGUACCCAUCUUUAUAAUGCUUCUGUUGUGAAUGUUGGAGGUGGCUCUGACACUUGACUUUUCUCUCAUGAGAAAUGUGGACUACAAAGAUCUUCCAGAACAGCCUCUUCUUAUAAAUAAAUACAUUUUCAACAAAAUUCCCUUGAAAUGUGACAAGUACUUUCACCUGUUCACUGAAGUGCAUAUCAUAAUAUCUGUA